CUCCCCCUUUCCCACCUCUUGGAACCAAACUGGGAUUCAUAGCCUUAGCUUAAAAGUCAUAGAGCAGUGUUGUUGGUUAUGAAGAAGAAGCGUGGAGUAUGGGAGUUCAGACAGUGAGUACUAAUCCUUGCUUGCUUUCUUCCCAUCUUUCUCAUUGCUGGCUCUCUCUCCUGCCUGCAUUUAUUUAACAAAUGUAUAUAUUGAGUCUACUCUGUGAGAAGGGUCAUGUUGGAUGGGGGAA
rnacentral:lncRNA from 1 species